CAGCCGCCGCGGGAAUACGAAGGGUGCAAGCGUUACUUGGAAUUACUGGGCGUAAAGCGUGCGUAGGUGGUUGUUUAAGUCUGCUGUGAAAGCCCUGGGCUUAACCUGGGAAUUGCAGUGGAUACUGGGCAACUAGAGUGUGGUAGAGGAUAGUGGAAUUUCCGGUGUAGCAGUGAAAUGCGUAGAGAUCGGAAGGAACAUCUGUGGCGAAGGCGACUAUCUGGGCCAACACUGACACUGAGGCACGAAAGCGUGGGGAGCAAACAGGAUUAGAUACCCCUGUAGUCCCUGUCUCUUAUAC
rnacentral:rRNA from 1 species